AAUGAACGUUGGCGGCGUGGAUUAGGCAUGCAAGUCGAGCGUACCCAGCAAUGGGGAAGCGGCAAACGGGGUAGUAAUGCGUCGGUACGUGCCCUCGGGACGAGGAUAGCCACGGGAAACUGUGGGUAAUACUCGAUGAUCUCGUGAGAGCAAAGGUGUGACUCCGCCGGAGGAGCGGCUGACGUGGUAUUAGGUAGUUGGUAGGGUAAUGGCCUACCAAGCCUGGGAUGCCUAGGGGGUGUGAGAGCAUGGCCCCCACCAUUGGGACUGAGAAACUGCCCAGACACCUACGGGUGGCUGCAGUCGAGGAUCUUCGGCAAUGGGCGCAAGCCUGACCGAGCGACGCCGCGUGCGGGAUGAAGGCCUUCGGGUUGUAAACCGCUGUCAGGGGGGAUGAAAUCAUGGUGGGUACUCCCAUCAUGUUGACAGAGCCCCAGAGGAAGCGCGGGCUAAGUUCGUGC
rnacentral:rRNA from 1 species